CACGUAGGGUGCGAGCGUUGUCCGGAAUUAUUGGGCGUAAAGAGCUCGUAGGCGGUGUGUCGCGUCGGCCGUGAAAACCUGCAGCUUAACUGUGGGCUUGCGGUCGAUACGGGCAUCACUGGAGUUCGGCAGGGGAGACUGGAAUUCCAGGUGUAGCGGUGAAGUGCGUAGAUAUCUGGAGGAAUACCGGUGGCGAAGGCGGCAUCCUGGACCAUUACUGACGCUGAGGCGCGAAAGCUAGGGGAGCAAACGGG
rnacentral:rRNA from 1 species